CAUAUCACUAACAAUAUACUGACGCUGAUGAACGAAAGCGUAGGUAGCCAACAGGAUUAGAUACCCUGGUAGUCUACGCUGUAAACGAUGGUUACUAGCUGUUCGUCACGCCUUAGGCGAGAUGAGUGGUUAAGCGAAAGUGAUAAGUAACCCACCUGGGGAGUACGUUUGCAAGAAUGAAACUCAAAGGAAUUGACGGGGGCCCGCACAAGCGGCGGAGCAUGUGGUUUAAUUCGAUGAUACGCGAGGAACCUUACCAGGGCUUAAAUGCAUAUUGACGAUUCACGAAAGUGGAUUUUCUUCGGACAAUUUGCAAGGUGCUGCAUGGUUGUCGUCAGCUCGUGCCGUGAGGUGUCAGGUUAAGUCCUAUAACGAGCGCGACCCCUGUGGUUAGUUACCAGCAUGUAAUGAUGGGGACUCUAGCCAGACUGCCGGUGCAAACCGUGAGGAAGGUGGGGAUGACGUCAAAUCAUCACGGCCCUUACGCCUUGGGCUACACACGUGCUACAAUGGUAUAUACAAUGAGCAGCCAUCUGGCGACAGAGCGCUAAUCUAUAAAGUAUAUCACAGUUCGAAUCGGAGUCUGCAACUCGACUCUGUGAAGCUGGAAUCGCUAGUAAUCGCACAUCAGCCAUGGUGCGGUGAAUACGUUCCCGGGCCUUGUACACACCGCCCGU
rnacentral:rRNA from 1 species